rnacentral:rRNA from 1 species
GGACCGGCCUCUCUCAGUACGUCAUUAUCGUCCAGAGACAGAGCUUUACAAUCCCAAACCUUCAUCACCCACGCGGCGUUGCUGCAUCAGGGUUUCCCCCAUUGUGCAAUAUUCCCCACUGCUGCCUCCCGUAGAGCCCCAUUCCGCUGUGUCUGGGGCGGCGCACUUAAAAAACAAAUACAACGGACUUUGCCUUUUCU